CUUCCUCUGUAUUGUCUCUGCCAUUUGAAAUGGCCGCGAGAACAGAGAGAUGAGAUUUGAGGGGAGUAAGCGAUCGAGAGAGAGAGCAUGGCCGAGAGAGGCAUCGAGCUUGAGAGAAAGGGAGACCGCGAGAGUGAAAGAGAGAGCAUUGUGAGGGAGAGUGAAGCUCGGCCAUGGCAGAAGCUGCCAUGGCCACGGUUAAAGCAGCUGUUCGAGGAGCUUGAAGAGGCUCCAAUGGCAGUCCAGCAAAGAUGAUGACCGCGGUUGAGGUCGGUGACGCAGCAGCAGCAAGGAGGCAGCCGCGGCCUGUAGCAGCGAAGCUUGGUGGUCGGCCAUGGCGGACGCGAGGGCAGCAGCUGUGCAGCGACAGCGUCGCGCAGGGGAGGCCGCGAUGGCUCGUGCUUGAAGCGUCGGUGGCCGGCGGUCGUGCAGCGAUGAGAAGCGGCCGACCAGUGGCCGGAAGUGAGCUGCAGCGGUGGCCGACCAGUGGCCGGUUGCUAUGCGCGCACAGGCGCUGCGCGCGCAUGGAGUCCGCGAAGAAGAAGAAGAAGAAGGUGCGGGAGAAUGGAGGAGGAAGGAGAAGAAUAAAGAAAAAAAAAAUAUAGAAAAAGAAAAUAUGGAAAAUUGGAAAAAAAAUAGUGAAAAAAUCCAGAAAAAAAUUGGGGAAAGCCCUGGAAAUUAAUAUGGGGCUCGAGGAGUGGGCCGGAGGUUCGAUAUGGGAAUCCAAGGACAUUAUGGCAGUCCAAUAGGCGAUGCCAAUGUGGGCGAUUAGCCGAUUUUCUGUUCCAGAUUAACUAAGGUUCGACUGGGGAGGCAGGUGAUCCUAGAAGAGCUCGGAGUUCGGGCUGGGUUCGUGCCGAGGCAGAGAUAAGGCUUCGAGCCAGAUGAUGCAAGUCUGGAUGCAAGCAGGGAUGGCGCCGGGAGGCCGUUGUGGCAACUAACUGAGUUGCCCGAGUUAUGUAUUUUUAAUAUUGCUUGUAUGUAGCCAGGGGGCGUGGUGUAUGUAUACCCUUGUGAGAAAAUGUCUGUGUUAUUGAGCUUAAAUGUAUUUAAUUGUGUAAUCAUCAUAGUGUGAUAGAUGAUUGUGAGAUUGCUUGUUGAAUGUGGCAUAGUCGGUAAAGCCAAGGUUCGGACCGAGUCAAGAUCAUCAAGGGCGCCCAGGGGGCAGUGGAAACCAACGCUAUGAACCGAGCUCGCCUGGUGGCUAAAGAGGCCGAGCUAGCUGACUGGAGGCCCAAGUCUGUGUCUUGGAACCAGGAACGGUAAGCCUUGAGCCAACACCUCAAAGACUUGGAUUACGAGGAGCGGGGGGGGGGGGGGGGGGCGCACAGAGAAGGAGAGACUUGCUUCCUCAUAUCGAUCUCUAGAGAUGAGCUACCAAGAAGCUCAAGAAGAAAUGGAGCGCAAUCAAGCCGCUUAUUAAGGGGAGAUUGCCCGGCUUUAGGUUGAACUAAUUGAAGCUAGGCAGCAAGUGGUAGAGGCACAACAAGAAGCAGUAAGAAUGAAGACAGAGGUGGAGCAAGCGGCAAGCAACAGGCAAAGGGAUAUUGAGGAGGUCGUGAAGAAAGCAGUCUGCGAUUAUCGGCUUUUUUCGGAUUGCUUUAGCCAGAAGGACGAAUAUGCUUCAUGCUAUUCGAAAUUCGACUUCUAUCAUGGUCGUACCUUCCUGGAAGCAACGCGACCGCACGAGUCCUUCGAAGAUAUGGUUUUUACCAAUGCUAUGACUAUCGUCCCUCCUCAAUGUCAGUGUAGGUGCUCUAAACCCAAUUAGAUUGGGCAAAUUGUACACUGACAAUUGUAAUCAUGUUUAUUAUUUGAAUAAGGAGUUGUUCAAAUUCACAAGAAGUCAUUCUAUUAGUUUCUUGUUAUUAUUGUAAUAACAGAAUGAAACUAGAUAGAAGUCCAUAUGAUGUAUACUGUAAUUAAUCUAUAAAGA